AUAUUGAUUACACAGUUAUAAAAAGGCGGUUAUUCAUAGAUUUUUUUCAGCAACAAAUUCAAAUUCAAGAUGAAAUUGUGUUUAUUAAUUCUGGCAGUUCUUAUUGUCGCGGCAGAAAGUAGAUGGACAACACCGCCCAGAGGUUUCACAUGCAUGUGUGCACCAGGUCCUCCCGUGUGUGCCAGUAACUAUCACACGUACAGCGGCGUAUGCAACAUGAAUUGCGCACAAAAUUGGAUACGUCAGAAGCUUUACGUCUUGUACGACGGACCGUGCCUUUUAACAAAUCAUUAAAACGGAAAAUUUGUU